rnacentral:rRNA from 1 species
GACGAACGCUGGCGGCGUGCUUAACACAUGCAAGUCGAACGAGGAACAGGAGCUGCUUGCAGCACCUGGAACCGAGUGGCGGACGGGUGAGUAACACGUGACCAACCUACCUUCAGGCGGGGGACAACCCGGGGAAACUUGGGCUAAUACCGCGUAAUGUCGUUUCGUCGCAUGGCGAUUCGACCAAAGAUGGCCUCUUUACAAUGCUAUCGCCUGGAGAGGGGGUCGCGGAGUAUCAGCUUGUUGGUGAGGUAAUGGCUCACCAAGGCGACGACGCUUAGCGGGUCUGAGAGGACGACCCGUCACAUUGGGACUGAGAUACGGCCCAG